UACAGAGGGGGCAAGCGUUGUUCGGAAUUACUGGGCGUAAAGGGCGCGUAGGCGGCCUGCUAAGUCGAACGUGAAAUCCCUGGGCUCAACCUGGGAACUGCAUUCGAUACUGCCGAGCUAGAGUGUGGGAGAGGGUAGUGGAAUUCCCGGUGUAGCGGUGAAAUGCGUAGAUAUCGGGAGGAACAUCAGUGGCGAAGGCGACUGCCUGGCCCAACACUGACGCUGAGGUGCGAAAGCGUGGGUAGCAAACAGG
rnacentral:rRNA from 1 species